rnacentral:rRNA from 1 species
GACGGGCCCGCACAAGCAGCGGAGCGUGUUGGUUUAAUUCGUUGCUACACGAAGAACCUUACCUGGGUUUGACAUAAUGGUGGUAGGGAUCCGAAAGGUGACCGACCCUUCGGGAGCCAUUACAGGUGUUGCAUGGCUGUCGUCAGCUCGUGUCGUGAGAUGUUCGGUUAAGUCCGCUAACGAGCGCAGCCCUCGCUGUGUGUUAUAUGUGUCACACAGGACUGCUGGUAUUAAGCCGGAGGAAGGUGGGGACGACGCCAAAUCAGCACGGCCCUUAUGUCCAGGGCUACACACGUGUUACAAUGGCCAGUACAAAGGGCAGCUACCGGGUGACCGGAUGCUAAUCUCUAAAGCUGGUCUCAGUUCGGAUCGAAGUCUGCAACCCGACUUCGUGAAGCUGGAUUCGCUAGUAAUCGCGCAUCAGCCAUGGCGCGGUGAAUACGUUCCCGGGCCUU